rnacentral:rRNA from 1 species
UAUCAAAACAUCGCCUCUUGCAAUCAAAACAUAAGAGGUCCCGCCUGCCCUGUGACUAUAUGUUCAACGGCCGCGGUAUUUUGACCGUGCAAAGGUAGCGCAAUCACUUGUCUUUUAAAUGGAGACCGGUAUGAAUGGCACCACGAGGGCUUAGCUGUCUCCUUUUUCAGGUCAAUGAAAUUGAUCUUCCCGUGCAGAAUCGGGAAUAACACCAUAAGACGAGAAGACCCUAUGGAGCUUUAGACACCAAGGCAGACCAUGCAUUCUUCCCACAAUGGCUGAAGAAAGCCUAAUGACUUCCUGCCCUAAUGUCUUCGGUUGGGGCGACCGCGGGGAAGGGAAAAACCCCCGCACGGACUAGGUAGACUACUCCCUAAAAAGAAGAGCCACAGCUCUAAUUAACAGAACCUCUGACCUACAGAUCCGGCAAUGCCGAUUAAUGGACCAAGUUACCCUAGGGAUAACAGCGCAAUCCCCUUUUAGAGCCCAUAUCGACAAGGGGGUUUACGACCUCGAUGUUGGAUCAGGACAUCCUAAUGGUGCAGCCGCUAUUAAGGGUUCGUUGUGUUCAACGAUUAAAGUCCUACGUGAUCUGAGUUCA